rnacentral:tRNA from 2 species
GGAAGGAUCGUCAUGGGCAAGACAAAGUAUUUGCUAAAUCCUUAGAGAUUCCUCUUUGUGGGUUCGAAUCCCUCUUCUUCCG